GGGCAAUUAGUUUAGUGGUAGAACGUCGGUCUCCAAAACCGAUAACGGGGGUUCGAUUCCCUCAUUGCCCG
rnacentral:tRNA from 1 species